rnacentral:rRNA from 1 species
GGAGGGGUGCAAGCGUUGUUCGGAUUUACUGGGCGUAAAGCGCGUGCAGGCGGGUCGGCAAGUCUUGUGUGUAAUCUCCCGGCUUAACCGGAAGCUGCACGGGAAACUACCGAUCUUGAGUGCGAGAGAGGAUGGCGGAAUUCCUGGUGUAGCGGUGAAAUGCGUAGAUAUCAGGAGGAACACCGGUGGCGAAGGCGGCCGUCUGGCUCGACACUGACGCUCAUACGCGAAGGCCGGGGGAGCAAACAGGAUUAGAUACCCUGGUAGUCCCGGCAGUAAACGUUGGACACUAGGUGUGGGAGGUUCGACCCCUUCUGUGCCGCAGCUAACGCAUUAAGUGUCCCGCCUGGGGAGUACGGCCGCAAGGUUG